rnacentral:rRNA from 1 species
AACGCUAGCUACAGGCUUAACACAUGCAAGUCGAGGGGAAACGAUAUUGGAAGCUUGCUUCCGAUAGGCGUCGACCGGCGCACGGGUGAGUAACGCGUAUCCAACCUGCCCAUCACUUGGGAAUAACCUUGCGAAAGUAAGACUAAUGCCCAAUGACAUUUAUAGAAGGCAUCUGAAAUGAAUUAAAGAUUUAUCGGUGAUGGAUGGGGAUGCGUCUGAUUAGCUUGUUGGCGGGGUAACGGCCCACCAAGGCGACGAUCAGUAGGGGUUCUGAGAGGAAGGUCCCCCACAUUGGAACUGAGACACGGUCCAAACUCCUACGGGAGGCAGCAGUGAGGAAUAUUGGUCAAUGGGCGAGAGCCUGAACCAGCCAAGUAGCGUGCAGGAAGACGGCCCUAUGGGUUGUAAACUGCUUUUAUAGGGGAAUAAAGUGAGCCACGCGUGGUUUUUUGCAUGUACCCUAUGAAUAAGGACCGGCUAAUUCCGUGCCAGCAGCCGCGGUAAUACGGAAGGUCCGGGCGUUAUCCGGAUUUAUUGGGUUUAAAGGGAGCGUAGGCCGGAGAUUAAGCGUGUUGUGAAAUGUAGAUGCUCAACAUCUGCACUGCAGCGCGAACUGGUUUCCUUGAGUACGCAUAAAGUGGGCGGAAUUCGUGGUGUAGCGGUGAAAUGCUUAGAUAUCACGAAGAACUCCGAUUG